UACGUAGGGGGCAAGCGUUGUCCGGAAUCAUUGGGCGUAAAGAGCGUGUAGGCGGCCCGAUAAGUCCGCUGUGAAAGUUCAGGGCUCAACCCUGGAAUGCCGGUGGAUACUGUCGGGCUCGAAUCCGGAAGAGGUGAGUGGAAUUCCUGGUGUAGCGGUGAAAUGCGCAGAUAUCGGGAGGAACACCAAUGGCGAAGGCAGCUCGCUGGGACGUUACUGACGCUGAGACGCGAAAGCGUGGGGAGCAAACAGG
rnacentral:rRNA from 1 species